UAAUCGCUGCGAGUGGACUGGAUUUUGUCCGGCACACAAACCGCACCGCAAUAAAUCACAAGAGGUUAAUGGCUGGAACUCAGUUGGAGCACUGCUUUAGCCCAACUUAGACUCACCCUACAAAGGCAACAAUUACUCGAUCAUAAAUCAAAAGCUUGAAUAUGAAACACCAAUCCAUUCAUAUGAGCAUUCGCAGCAUAAUUUAAAUGCCGCAACAACUGGAAACCACCGACAUCAACCUGAAACCAGCGGCUGCACCAGCAAUCCAGAAUCAAGAGGUUUCAAGUGUCAAUAAAUAAUCGCAUUCGCAACACCAGAGGACCCAAAAGUCACAGGCAAUGGACAGACAACAAAAACUUAACUGAUCAAAAAAAAAAAAACAAGACUCACAGCCAAACUCCACAUAAGCCCGCUUAACUUGAUGUCCAGCUUUGUGGUGAAUAUGGUUAAGGUAGCGGCGGUGCUGAUGGUGGUGGCAGGGGCAUAGGAAUUUGCUGAUCGUGAUGCAAAGUUUAGAUUAUAAAGCGCUGAUACAAUAUCACAACACCCCAGCAGCAAGCAGAAGGAAGCUAAGAAGGAGUUAAGAUACCACCAGCGUUGUUUAGCAGUUGGUCAUCGUCAACUUCGCCUUGCCUUCAGCUCAGCCACCAUCUGUUUGUUUGUUUGCUUGAAUGCCCUCCUUAAGGAAAGCAAAGCCCCAAACAGAAUUUAAUCCCCUCUCGUUUGUGAAUAUGAUCAUGGCGUCAUAUUUUCGCUAGUCUAUGGCAAAUUUCGUCUAACAAACACACCAUCCUCUGAAGGGGACUGGGGGAC